UUUCAGUUUAAAAUAAAGCGGAAAAGCGUCUGAAUUUUUUUUUUUUUUUUUAAAUCCUUACCCCAGAGUAUACCAGAUCCGCCACAAAUACAGGGAAUCCACUGUUCACACGGACAGAGUCUCCCCUGUAUUUGCACGGCGUCGAUCAAAUACACAGUACAACCAGGAUACAACCACAACCAGAUAAAUAUAAAGAUAACUAUACAUUCAUACAUUCACCAUUCACAUCACAGUUUUACAUUCAAGGUAUAAACAGAAAUCCACAAAAAUCUUUUGAAAGCUGUUUCCUACACAGAAACCUUUAUUCUUUUAAAAACGCUACCACGAGGGGUAGAAAACCUUUUAUUUUACAA
rnacentral:lncRNA from 1 species